CCAGCCGAGGCCUUAGGGCCAACGCUGUGAGCUCAGGGCUUUCUCUCAUGGCGAGGCUCCAGCAGGGGCUGUGCUGUCUCUCUUCACUGGCUGGGCAGAGAAGACAUGCCUCCUCCAGGCUGUCGUUGGACAUUGAAGUGUCUGGAAAGAGUCGUUGCUGCUGAGAAGAACAUGGAGUCAUCCUACCUUGGCAGAGCCCCAAAGCUGUCCUAGACCCACCCUCACCAAAGCUAGAGUGUGGGAACUUCAAUUGCAGUUCUAGGGAGAGGAAUGGGUCCCUUGAGAGCCCCUGUGCCGAUGGGAGGCGGCCUCCCUACACAGUGGUUGAAAGCCAGGCCUGCAGGGGGCUCUUCACACACGGACAAGGACUGACCAGGUCCCAGUCUUGCUGAAAGGACCACAGUCCCGGGCUGAAGCCUCAAGGUUGCGUCCAGUCACCAAGCACACAUGGUCAUUCCCUUCACCUCUUGACCGCUGUCCCACGUUCUUCGUGAACCCACUUCCUCCCCAGUCCACCCUCUCAUGGACACAGAAGACCCAUUGGGACCCAGCAGUCCUGUUUUCUAGAGGAGUCCCCUGUGCCCUGAAUAGCUAUCCACAAGGACACCAGGACACUUCCUAUUGGGAAAGGCUACAGCAUCCUUCAGGUGAAGGAGUUAGAGACCAAACCUACAACCCUCAGCAACAGCAUCCUCCCCACCAGAAAGCUCAAGGUGUCCUGAUCGCAUGGCCUGUCAGCCUUCUUCCCAGUGGAUUACAACUCAUCUGGUCCUUCCUCUCCACUUCCUGAUGAGAACUGAGCCUCCCACUCUUUGUGGCAUCCCAGAUGGAGGCACAGUAAGUGUGACUGCCAUCCGGAACACCUGUGAGGAAUCUCCUAGGCAGGGGGCGGGGCCUCUUCCCCUGUGCAAGAGGAAGAACCGGUGACAUUGAAGAGGCUGCCCUCCCUUUUGAGUCCCUCCUGGCUCUGCCCACAGGAAGCUGGCUGUUUGCCUGAGCCUCUUGUUUUCCUCUAUUUGGUUUUUAUACUUUCCAAAUAUGAUAUAAAAGCA